rnacentral:rRNA from 1 species
AGUGGCGAACGGGUGAGUAAUGCAUCGGAACGUACCUUUCGAGUGGGGGACAACGUAGCGAAAGUUACGCUAAUACCGCAUAUUCUGUGAGCAGGAAAGCAGGGGAUCGCAAGACCUUGCGCUGAUUGAGCGGCCGAUGUCAGAUUAGCUAGUUGGUGAGGUAAAGGCUCACCAAGGCGACGAUCUGUAGCGGGUCUGAGAGGAUGAUCCGCCACACUGGAACUGAGACACGGUCCAGACUCCUACGGGAGGCAGCAGUGGGGAAUUUUGGACAAUGGGGGCAACCCUGAUCCAGCCAUGCCGCGUGAGUGAAGAAGGCCUUCGGGUUGUAAAGCUCUUUCGGCCGGGAAGAAAUCGCAUGGGUUAAUACCCUGUGCGGAUGACGGUACCGGCAUAAGAAGCACCGGCUAACUACGUG